CAGUCGCCGCGGUAACACGUAGGUCCCGAGCGUUGUCCGGAUUUAUUGGGCGUAAAGCGAGCGCAGGCGGUUAGAUAAGUCUGAGGUUAAAGGCUGUGGCUUAACCAUAGUACGCUUUGGAAACUGUUUAACUUGAGUGCAAGAGGGGAGAGUGGAAUUCCAUGUGUAGCGGUGAAAUGCGUAGAUAUAUGGAGGAACACCGGUGGCGAAAGCGGCUCUCUGGCUUGUAACUGACGCUGAGGCUCGAAAGCGUGGGGCGCAAACAGGAUUAGAUACCCCGGUAGUCCCUGUCUCUUAUACC
rnacentral:rRNA from 1 species